rnacentral:rRNA from 1 species
GACGAACGCUGGCGGCGUGCCUAAUACAUGCAAGUAGGACGCAGUUGCGAAAGGGUGAGUAACGCGUCGGUAACUGCCUGUUAGUGGGGGCUAACUACUGGAGACAAUAGCUCAUAACGCAUACUGGUAGAUGGACCUGCGUUGUGUUAGCUAGUAGGUAGGGGAAUGGGCUACCUAGGCGACGGUACAUAGCCGACCUGGGAGGGUGAUCGGGCAAACUGGGACUGGGGAACGGCCCCGACCCCUACGGGAGGCCGCAGUAGGGAAAUUUUGGCAAAUGGGGGCACCCUGACCAAGCAACUCCGCGUGAGUGAAGAAGGGUUUCGGGUUGGAAAGCUCUGUUGUUAAGGAAGCGGUACCUACACAGAAAGCGACGGCUAACUACGUGCCAGCAGCCGCGGUAAUUC